rnacentral:rRNA from 1 species
CGUGUAGGCGGCCUGAUAUGUCAGAUGUGAAAGCCCUGGGCUUAACUCAGGAAGUGCAUUUGAAACUGUCAGGCUCGAGUAGGGGAGAGGGAAGUGGAAUUCCUGGUGUAGAGGUGAAAUUCGUAGAUAUCAGGAGGAACACCGGUGGCGAAGGCGACUUCCUGGCCCUAUACUGACGCUGAGACGCGAGAGCGUGGGUAGCAAACA